UACGUUGGGCGCAAGCGUUGUCCGGAAUUAUUGGGCGUAAAGAGCGUGUAGGCGGCUUGGUAAGUCCGCUGCGAAAGUCCAGGGCUCAACCCUGGAAUGCCAGUGGAAACUGUCAAGCUAGAGUCCGGAAGAGGCGAGUGGAACUCCUGGUGUAGCGGUGAAAUGCGCAGAUAUCAGGAAGAACACCAAUGGCGAAGGCAGCUCGCUGGGACGGUACUGACGCUGAGACGCGAAAGCGUGGGGAGCAAACAGG
rnacentral:rRNA from 1 species